rnacentral:rRNA from 1 species
GAUAAACGCUGGCGGCGCACAUAAGACAUGCAAGUUGAACGGACUUAAUCGAAAUAUUUAUAUUUUGAAGCGGUUAGUGGCGGACUGGUGAGUAACGCGUAAGGAACCUGCCUAUUAGAGGGGAAUAACAGUGAGAAAUCAUGCUAAUACCGCAUAUGCCAUAGAUAUCACAUGAUAAAAGUGGGAAAGGAGCAAUCCGCUAAUAGAUGGCCUUGCGUCUGAUUAGAUAGUUGGUGGGGUAACGGCCUACCAAGUCGACGAUCAGUAGCCGGACUGAGAGGUUGAACGGCCACAUUGGGACUGAGAUACGGCCCAGACUCCUACGGGAGGCAGCAGUCGGGAAUAUUGCGCAAUGGAGGAAACUCUGACGCAGUGACGCCGCGUAUAGGAAGAAGGUUUUCGGAUUGUAAACUAUUGUCGUUAGGGAAGAGAAAGGACAGUACCUAAGGAGGAAGCUCCGGCUAACUACGUG